GGGAGGGUACUAUCCUAACCCAGUACAGGGAUGGGGAGGGAACUAUCCUAACCCAGUACAGGGAUGGGGAGGGUACUAUCCUAACCCAGUACAGGGAUGGGGAGGGUACUAUCCUAACCCAGUACAGGGGAGGGUACUAUCCUAACCCAGUACAGGGACGGGGAGGGUACUAUCCUAACCCAGUACAGGGGAGGGUACUAUCCUAACCCAGUACAGGGAUGGGGAGGGUACUAUCCUAACCCAGGACAGGGAUGGGGAGGGUACUAUCCUAACCCAGUACAGGGAUGGGGAGGGUACUAUCCUAACCCAGUACAGGGGAGGGUACUAUCCUAACCCAGUACAGGGGAGGGUACUAUCCUAACCCAGUACAGGGGAGGGUACUAUCCUAACCCAGUACAGGGAUGGGGAGGGUACUAUCCUAACCCAGUACAGGGGAGGGUACUAUCCUAACCCAGUACAGGGAUGGGGAGGGUACUAUCCUAACCCAGUACAGGGGAGGGUACUAUCCUAACCCAGACAGGGAUGGGGGAGGGUACUAUCCUAACCCAGUACAGGGAUGGGGAGGGUACUAUCCUAACCCAGUACAGGGGAGGGCGCAAUCCUGCAGAAUAAAAAACAUUUUGGAAGGCAGAUAAAAAUAAGACUGAACAAAUUUGAUUACGAGGUUCAAUGUUUUACAUGACAAUGCAUGUUAAAACACUGCAGAUGAACCAUGCUGGUGCCUUUCCCUACAGGACUAACUGGAACUUCCUGUACCCUGUCAUGUGACUAUGGAGUUUCCUGUAUCUGUGUGUGUGUGUGUGUGUGUGUGUGUGUGUGUGUGUGUGUGUGUGUGUGUGUGUGUGUGUGUGUGUGUGUGUGUGUGUGUGUGUGUGUGUGUGUGUGUGUGUGUGUGUGUGUGUGUGUGUGUGUGUGUGUGUGCUAUUGGACCAUGGUAAUAUCCCAAGGCAUUAGUGUUAGCUAGGUUUAAGCUUAGGUUUAGUUUUAGUGCUAGGUUUAAGCUUAGGUUUAGUUUUAGUGCUAGGUUUAAGCUUAGGUUUAGUUUUAGUGCUAGGUUUAAGCUUAGGUUUAGUUUUAGUGCUAGGUUUAAGCUUCAGUUUUAGUGCUAGGUUUAGGGUUAGGUUUAGGCGUAGGUUUGCUCUGUACAGAUGGCUUUAGUGAAAUAGCACCGUUUUCUGUGUAAAAAUACUGUCCUGAACCUUUUACUCUGCCUUACAGCAUCACAGACAGGUAUAAAAUCCAUACAAACCAGUAGCUAGGGAUAUUAGAAAACAUAUACUGGAAACUUUCCUGUCAACAUUGCUUAAAAUUCAUAUAAAACAUGUAUACUAGUGAGGUUCAUUCGAG
rnacentral:lncRNA from 1 species